rnacentral:rRNA from 1 species
CUGCAUUAUUUUCUCUCUCUCCCUCCCCCCUCCGCCUCCCCGCUUAUUCUCUCUCCCCCUUCCUACUCUCUGUCCCCCGUCUGCUCCAUUUCUGCUCUGCGCGCUCCCCUCCCCACCCCACCCACUCCCCCCAUUCCGUCGGCGCAGCAGGCGAGCGGAGCUCACUCCCAAGAGAAGAUGUCCGCCAUCCCCUCGAGGAGCUGAUUCAAGGUGUAGAAACAUGGGUUCUAGAUUUCCAUCACAUCAGCUGAGCAGUGGCCUUUAUGUAUCUGGCCGACCUGAGCAACCUAAGGAGAAGGCCCCGACCUUUGGAUCCAAUGUGAUGCCAUACACUGGUGGUGACACCAAGAAAUCUGGGGAGCUUGGGAAGAUGUUUGAGCUCCAUGCUGAAAGAUCUAGAAAAUCUGGUCCUCUAGGCAGUGCGCCUUCGAGAAAUCCUUCAUUUGGCGGUGCUGCUUCCAACUCUGGACCUGUGUCUAAUGCUGGUGGUCGGUCAAACUACUCUGGUUCUCUUUCAUCUUCAGUUCCUGGCGCCGGAGGAUCAGCAAGAGCAAAAUCUAACUCCGGACCACUCAAUAAGCAUGGAGAACCAGUAAAGAGGUCAUCUGGUCCCCAGUCUGGAGGUGUGACCCCAAUGGCUCGCCAGAAUUCCGGCCCUCUCCCUCCAAUGCUUCCUACGACUGGGCUUAUCACAUCUGGCCCUGUUACUUCUGGACCACUGAAUUCGUCUGGUGCCCCAAGAAGGAAAGUAUCUGGAUCUCUUGAUCCUGCUGCAUCGAUGAAGGCACGGGCCACAUCACUUGCUCACAACCAGGCUGUUACUACACUCACCAGUGAAGGUGGUUUCUCAGUUAUGGGAAGCAUUUCAAAGUGGGUAUUCUGGCUAGUGAUCACACUCUUGCUGUUCGGGUUUGCAGUAGGUCUCUUCAUUCUUAUUGCUGUUCACAAUGCGAUUGUGCUGAUAGUUGUUGUUGCAAUGAUUGGUUCUGUUGCUGCACUUGUGUCUUGGAAUGUUUGGCGGGGCAGGAGAGGCGUGCUCAGGUUUGUCAAUAGCUGUCCUGAUACUGAUCUCAGAACUGCAAAGGAUGGAGAGUAUGUGAAGGUUACAGGGGUUGUUACGUGUGGAAAUUUCCCCCUGGAGUCCUCAUUUCAAAGGAUUCCGAGAUGUGUGUACACUUCAACUAGGCUGUAUGAGUAUAGGGGCUGGGAUUCAAAAACUGCAAACCCCAAGCAUCGCCGGUUUACCUGGGGAUUACGGACAGCAGAGCGACAUGCGGUCGAUUUCUACAUUUCAGAUUUUCAGUCUGGGCUUCGAGCAUUGGUGAGAACAGGAAGCGGUGCACGGGUGACACCAUAUGUCGAUGAAUCGGUAGUAAUUGACGUCAAUCCUGAGAACAAGGACAUGUCUCCUGAAUUUCUAAGAUGGCUACGAGAAAGGAAUCUCUCAAGUGAUGGUCGGAAAAUGCGCCUAAAAGAAGGAUACAUCAAGGAAGGCAGCACUGUGAGUGUGAUGGGGGUCGUUCAAAAGAAUGAGAGCGUCUUGAUGAUAGUACCUCCAUCAGAGCCCAUCUCAUCUGGUUGCCAGUGGGGGAGUUGUUUCUUCCCAGCAAACCUUGAAGGACUAGUCGUGAGAUGUGAAGAUACUUCAGACAUGGAUGUCAUACCAGUAUAGCAAGCUGAUGAUUGCCGUGGUGUGGAAUAGCUGCUGUUGAAGAGGGAACGUUGGCCUGUCGAAUCGGGUUGGGUUUGAUUGGUAGAGUAUUAGAACUGAGAAAAAAAUGUACAAAUGUUAGGUGUGAUUAAGGCUAGUAAAGAUGGGAGUAUGGCUGCUGGUUAAUCUGUGUUUGGCUGUAUAGUCCUUUUUCAAUGUGUUUUGUCCUCCUUCGCUCCUGUUUUUUCGGUUAUGAGCUCUCAAUACUUGUGUAAUAUGAUUGCUUUUGGGCUGUUUGAAGACAUGUUGAAUCGGGUUUAUGUGUUAUUUAGGAUGAACUUCUUGCACUGCUGUUAAAGCCUAAAUAUAUUGUUGCUGUUACAUU